GGAAUCUUGCGCAAUGGGCGAAAGCCUGACGCAGCAACGCCGCGUGGGGGAUGAAGGCCUUCGGGUUGUAAACCCCUUUCAGGAGGGAAGCAAUUGACGGUACCUCCAGAAGAAUCACCGGCCACCUACGUGCCAGCAGCCGCGGUAAUACGUAGGGUGCAAGCGUUAUCCGGAAUCAUUGGGCGUAAAGAGCUCGUAGGCGGUUCAGCAAGUCGGCUGUGAAAGUCCGAGGCUCAACCUCGGAACUGCAGUCGAUACUGCUGUGACUCGAGUCCGGUAGAGGAGAAUGGAAUUCCCGGUGUAGCGGUGGAAUGCGCAGAUAUCGGGAGGAACACCAGUAGCGAAGGCGGUUCUCUGGGCCGGCACUGACGCUGAGAUGCGAAAGCGUGGGGAGCGAAC
rnacentral:rRNA from 1 species